rnacentral:tRNA from 1 species
GCUCCCGUAGCUCAGAUGGAUAGAGCGGCGGACUUCUAAUCCGUAGGUCGUAGGUUCGAUUCCUACCGGGGGCGC